GAUGAAGAACGCAGCGAAAUGCGAUAAGUAAUGUGAAUUGCAGAAUUCAGUGAAUCAUCGAAUCUUUGAACGCACAUUGCGCCCGCCAGUAUUCUGGCGGGCAUGCCUGUUCGAGCGUCAUUUCAACCAUCAAGCCCCCCGGCUUGUGUUGGGGACCUGCGGCUGCCGCAGGCCCUGAAAAGCAGUGGCGGGCUCGCUGUCACACCGAGCGUAGUAGAUCUCAUCUCGCUCAGGGCGUGCUGCGGGUUCCGGCCGUUAAACCACCUUCAUAACCCAAGGUUGACCUCGGAUCAGGUAGGAAGACCCGCUGAACUUAAGCAUAUCAAUUAAGCGGAGGA
rnacentral:misc_RNA from 1 species